AAUCAGGCCUAAAGUGGCCUGAUGGGAUAAAGAGACUUUCUCACUUCUCCAUCAUAAUUAUUUGGGUAGCUUCAGUGUACAGCAUUGUAAAUGAAUGUUCGUAUCUCAUCAGCCUAUGUAAAGCUUGAAAUUCUGGCAGGUAGAAAAGAAACUUAAGUAUGGAAGAAAUGACUCUAGCUGCCAAGGUGGCAAUAAUCUUGAAAUGCAUCUUGUUCCACGUUAGACACCCAUCAUCCACAUAACUAGUAAGCUCACACUACUCAGAAGAGAUUGUUCUGUUUUUCCUUAAUCACAGUCCCUACAUGUUCAAAUC
rnacentral:lncRNA from 1 species